GACGAACGCUGGCGGCGUGCUUAACACAUGCAAGUCGAACGGAAAGGCCCUGCUUGCCGGGUACUCGAGUGGCGAACGGGUGAGUAACACGUGGGUGAUCUGCCCUGCACUUCGGGAUAAGCCUGGGAAACUGGGUCUAAUACCGGAUAGGAGCCAUUUUUAGUGUGAUGGUUGGAAAGUUUUUUCGGUGUAGGAUGAGCUCGCGGCCUAUCAGCUUGUUGGUGGGGUAAUGGCCUACCAAGGCGGCGACGGGUAGCCGGCCUGAGAGGGUGGACGGCCACAUUGGGACUGAGAUUCGGCCCAGACUCCUACGGGAGGCAGCAGUGGGGAAUAUUGCACAAUGGGCGCAAGCCUGAUGCAGCGACGCCGCGUGGGGGAUGACGGCCUUCGGGUUGUAAACUCCUUUCGCUAGGGACGAAGCUUUUUGUGACGGUACCUAGAUAAGAAGCACCGGCUAACUACGUG
rnacentral:rRNA from 1 species